UGGGGAAUUUUGGACAAUGGGCGAAAGCCUGAUCCAGCAAUGCCGCGUGUGUGAAGAAGGCCUUCGGGUUGUAAAGCACUUUUGUCCGGAAAGAAAUCCUUGGCUCUAAUACAGUCGGGGGAUGACGGUACCGGAAGAAUAAGCACCGGCUAACUACGUGCCAGCAGCCGCGGUAAUACGUAGGGUGCAAGCGUUAAUCGGAAUUACUGGGCGUAAAGCGUGCGCAGGCGGUUUGCUAAGACCGAUGUGAAAUCCCCGGGCUCAACCUGGGAACUGCAUUGGUGACUGGCAGGCUAGAGUAUGGCAGAGGGGGGUAGAAUUCCACGUGUAGCAGUGAAAUGCGUAGAGAUGUGGAGGAAUACCGAUGGCGAAGGCAGCCCCCUGGGCCAAUACUGACGCUCAUGCACGAAAGCGUGGGGAGCAAAACAGGAUUAGAUACCCUGGUAGUCCACGCCCUAAACGAUGUCAACUAGUUGUUGGGGAUUCAUUUCCUUAGUAACGUAGCUAACGCGUGAAGUUGACCGCCUGGGGAGUACGGUCGCAAAGAUUAAAACUCAAAGGAAUUGACGGGGUCAUAGCUGUUUCCU
rnacentral:rRNA from 1 species